CGCCGAGUUGGCAGUUGCCCUACAGUUGCUGGGAGGAGGCGGGAGGUGGAGCCGCUAGGGCCAAGAUCAUGCCAGAUAGCCAGAGGUAUUCUGGGCAGCAGAGGCCGCUAGGCUUGGGAUGAAAGAAGCAGGGCAGAUGCAAAAUCUGGAGAGCGCGGGGGCCGGGCGGUCCGUCAGCACCCAGACUGGCAGCAUGACUGGUCAAAUACCAAGGCUUUCUAAAGUCAACCUUUUCACUCUGCUCAGUCUCUGGAUGGAGCUCUUCCCAGCCGUGAAAGCCCAAAGACAAAAAUCUCAGGAAAAGGAAGAGGGAAAGCAUGGACCCUUAGGAGAUAAUGAAGAGAUGGCCAGGAUAUCUACUGACAAAAAACAGGUGAAGAGAACUGGUCUUGUGGUGGUGAAAAACACGAAAAUUGUUGGUCUCCACUGUUCUAGUGAAGAUUUACAUGCUGGAAAAAUUGCUCUUAUAAAACAUGGGUCAAGGCUGAAAAACUGUGAUCUUUAUUUUUCCAGAAAACCCUGUUCUGCUUGUUUGAAAAUGAUUGUAAAUGCUGGAGUUAACCGAAUUUCAUACUGGCCUGCUGAUCCAGAAAUAAGUUUGCUUACUGAGGAUUCUAGUUCUGAAGAUGCCAAGUUAGAUGCCAAAGCGGUGGAAAGAUUGAAGUCAAACAGUCGGGCCCAUGUGUGUGUCUUACUUCAGCCUUUGGUGUGUUAUAUGGUGCAGUUUGUAGAGGAGACCUCUUACAAAUGUGACUUUAUUCAAAAAAUUGCAAAAACAUUGCCGGAUGCUAACGUUGACUUUUAUUCUGAAUGUAAACAAGAAAGAAUAAAAGAAUAUGAAAUGUUAUUUUUGGUUUCAAAUGAAGAAAUGCAUAAGCAAAUACUGAUGACUAUAGGCUUGGAGAACCUAUGUGAAAAUCCAUACUUUAGCAAUCUAAGACAAAACAUGAAAGACCUUAUCCUACUCUUGGCCACAGUAGCUUCCAGUGUGCCCAACUUUAAGCACUACGGAUUUUAUUGUGGUAAUACCGAACAGAUUAAUGAAAUUCACAAUCAAAGUUUGCCACAAGAAAUUGCAAGGCACUGCAUGGUUCAGGCCAGGUUAUUGGCAUAUCGAACUGAGGAUCAUAAAACUGGAGUUGGAGCAGUCAUCUGGGCAGAAGGAAAAUCUAGAAGUUGUGAUGGAACAGGCGCGAUGUACUUCAUAGGAUGCGGUUAUAAUGCUUUUCCUGUUGGAUCCGAGUAUGCGGACUUCCCGCACAUGGAUGACAAACAGAAAGACAGAGAAAUAAGGAAAUUCAGAUACAUUGUACAUGCGGAGCAGAAUGCCUUGACAUUUAGGUGUCAAGAAAUAAAACCGGAAGAAAGAAGUAUGAUUUUUGUCACAAAGUGCCCUUGUGAUGAGUGUGUACCUUUAAUUAAAGGAGCAGGCAUAAACCAGAUCUAUGCCGGAGAUGUAGAUGUUGGAAAAAAGAAGGCAGACAUCUCUUACAUGAGAUUUGGGGAACUUGAGGGUGUUAGCAAAUUUACAUGGCAGCUGAAUCCAUCAGGAACUUGUGUUGGUGAACAGAAUGAGCCUGAAAGCAAAGAGAAUGGUGUGUUGAGACCCUUACCUCUGGGUGAAGAACAGCACCAAAACAAAAAGCUGUGUCUUGGAAACGACUAAGAAAUCCUGUCUAAACUGGAGUGAGGCCUCGAGGAUUUGUAUUUGCACUUUUAAAAUUCAGCCUUGUUAACUCAGAAAAUAAGGGUGGAUUUUGUGAAUAACUGAGAAUAAUUGUAAGGAAGCUAAUUUAUUACUACCAUAUGGAUGGAUGAUGUUAAUGAGAAUAUUUUUAUUUUAGAUUGGUAUAUUUUCCAGAAUAUGGUGGUAUGUUCUUUUAUUACAUUAAAUGAGGUAGCCAUGAUUUAGUGAGACAAAUUUAAUCAGCCGUAGAGGUUACUUUCUCCUUGUCUUAGGUUUAUAUUAGCCAGUUUUUUGAAAGGGACUGGUUCACUGGAGGUCACAUCUCAGCAGAGAAUUAUACACCUUUUAAAAAAUAUUAAUUCCUUCAGAUUAUGAAGGUGAUAGUAAACUGCGCCAGGGCAAUAAAUGAUGACUGGCCAUUUUUAAGUCAGUGUGUGGCUCACCAAAAGCUCACAUUUAUACCUAAAGCUUUUUAAUAUUCAGAAUUUAAUUAGGAUUAAAUCAUAAAAUAUGAUGGUGGCAUACCAGAUCCCCAUUAUAAAAGUAUAUUCCUAACAAUGUUAUUAAUUUUUUAAAAAUCUUUUGAUACAUAGAAAUAACAAUGAUUGUUGCACUAUGGUGUUAAAUCACUGAUUUGGGGUAGCGGCAGAAAGAGACUAUAAUUCUGAAGCAGUAUUGCUAUUUGAUAUCACUGACUUUUGAAAUCACAAACAACACCAAAUUUGUUUAUGAUAUUAACGGUGAAGAAAUAUUUCAGUCUAGAAUAUUGAGACAACUUUUUGUCAAAUUCCAUUCAUAAAUGCUGCCCAUUUUCCCCUUCAUGCAGUUAACAGAGUGUCUCAUAGUUUUCAAUGCGAGAUCUUUUAAAAAUAUUCGUAAACCUUAAGAAUACUGAAAAUCUCCAGUAAACACUAUGAUCAGUUCCUUUAUAUUCCAAAUUGCUAUUUGUGAGACCUCUCAUUUUUAUUUCUUGAGAAACUUUCAAAAAAUUAGUCCAAAGCUGAAGAUACGUGUUUUGCACUUUCCUAGAGUUAGGCAGGGAAUGCAGAGCCCAUGGCCCACAGUACUGUGGGGGGGACACUCCACGGAGCACCUGCCUUGGCUGUAUAGAGAUCAUGAGAUUUGCCUCUGCUGUUGUCCCCAACCUUUCCACAGCACCACAUGGCCACACAAGACCUUCUACCCGUUUCUCAGAAUUGUACACAGGACAAUCCAAAUGCUGCCUGAUGUCCCUGUUUGUACAGCAGUCGGCUUAGGUCCACUGGGAGUUCUAAGUCCACAUACCAGGCAAUUGAGAACUGCCAUAAAUAUUGAGAGGGGAGGAAAGAUAUCCUUAGAGAUAACUAAGACUCAUUUGAAAACGAGUAGUUAAGUAUUCUAAAAUAUUUGUCAAUAUGAAAAUACUGAGAUUUGUUCACAUCCUCCCAGUUGCUUCAAUAUAUAAUUUAUACAAGCUUAAAUUCACGUUAGGAUUGUUGUUUUUUAUUAAUAUGUCAUCCACAUCAAAUGUUUUAUAAACCAAUCAACAAAUAUUUCUUAAGACCGAAAAGCCUGGAAUACUGUCAGGUUUAUGAUUUAUGUGUUGGACAUUGAAGGGAUAUCAGAAGGGGGAAACACAAAAUGGGAAAAUAUAAAAUGGGGAAAACUAGGAUUAGGAACUGGGAAAAUUAAUAUUUCCAUACACUAUGAAAAUUUACAUGAAAAUGCCAUAUUUCCUUCUUUACAGCUGGUCAGUUUUCAACAUUUAUUGAGAAAUUCCUGUGCAGUACCAGGGAAAAACUUAAUGAAGGCAGGAAUGUACAUACACACACAUACACAUAUACAGGCACACAUUCAUAUUUAUAUACAUAUGUUAUAUAUACAUAUGCAUAUACAUAUAAAUUAUAUGUAUAUAAAUUUUAUAUAUAUAUAAAAAUGUAUAAAUUUUUUAAGCUGAUGAAUCCAGUGCCUAUGAUAGUGCCUGGCACAUAGUAGGCAUUCAAUAAGUAUUUGUUGAUUGACUGAAUGACUGCUGGACACUGGCUAGACCCUGGAGAUGAGAUGUGUAAGAAGAAGCUCACAGUGUAGUGGAAGACAGAAGCAUGUAACCAGGUAAUAGAGACUCAGUUUCAGAGUGGGGUCCCUAAACCAGCAACAUUAGCAUCACUUGGGGAAUUGUUAGAGAUGCAAAUUGUUAAGUCCACUAAGAUCUGUUGAAUCAGAAACUGGGCAUGGGGCCCAGCAAUGUGUGCUUUCACAGCUCUCCAGAUGCUUCUGAUGACCUUGGAGGUUGAGAACCACCCUGUGAAUGCAACUGUAGGAAGCUUCUAAUAUAUGUAAUGAAAACUACUAGAAAUAAUAAGAACAACUCUGUAUUGCAAGGAAGUCAGGAUGUUUUUAGUUAAGGAAAGGUAUGAGGUAUGGAGAUAUAUUUUAGCUAAGGGAAAAGAAAGUAAAUUUGGCCCUAAAGUAAAGCUGAUUAUUUCAGAAUGGUCAUUACAGAAUGGAAAAGAGAAAAAUAAAGGACAAACCAAGGAAAUAGAAGUUUGGGAAAAGAAAAAGAAGGAAGGAAGGAAGAGAUAGAAGGAAAGAAGGGAGAAGGGAAGGGAGGAAAGAGAAAAGGAGAAAGGAAAAAAGGAAGAAAAGAAAGAAAAUUUAUGAAAAAGAAAGAAAAGAAAGAAAAAUUUACCUUCUGUCGUCAACGUUGGCUAAAAAUUGAAUUGUUAUAAGGUUUUUUAAAAAUAAUAAACUUGCUUUUUUGUUUUAAUAGCUUGCUAAUGUAAUUUUCUUUCAUUUGCUAAAAGGACAAAAUUUUCUUGGACUAUUAGCCUGCUCUUGAUAAGAUAUUAUGAAUGGUUUUCUUUACCUUUUAAAUAGUCUGCCUGGAAAGCAAAGAUGUUGUGUUUUACUUAAGUAAUUUCCUGUGCUUCAUGUUGUUUUUAUCAGAUCUUUGAUUACUUAACUGAGUGUUAACAUUAAGAGCUAAAUUUUCCUUAAAACGAUGUAACCUUUUGUAUUUGCCUUUAAAAUCUUUGUCACUUAGUUAAAUAGGUAAUUAAGUAUUAUUUCAAAUUAUCUGUGGUCCUGUUUAGUCAAGUGUCCCAACUUUUUUUUUUUUAUAUUUUUAACAAACUUUUCAAAAUCAAUUUCUAAAAAUUUUUUGAUGAGGAAAUUAAGUUGGAAUUUUCCAGACGGUCCCUGGAAUAUCUCAAAAGAUUUGUUUUCUUUCUUUAUAAAAGAGAGAUGCUAAAUGAAUUGGUUUAUGUGAUAUGCUAAAUUACAUGGGAAGUGUUGUCAAAUAAGAAAUAUCAAGCUUUCUUUAUGUUGUGUUUGUUUUAAGUGUUCCAGAUAUUAUAUGAAAUUCCUAGAAAUCAGAUGUCCAGGAUGAUAUCACUGUAAUUCUAGUUAUUAUCGUAAAAUGUUGUAUGUCACAGAUAUAAUCAGAUUUUCUUAUCCAUUGCAUUGUAAAGAAAUCUAAUAGAUCUUUAUGGCCAUUUUUAAGUCUUUUAUCAUUUACAGACAGUUACUGUUUCACUCGGAUGGUUUUAUAAAAGUUUUCCUGCAAAAGUGCUUCAUCUUCAAGGAAAUUCAUGAAUGGACUCUAACAAGUACUGUAGGAUACAGGUUUCUGAUAACUUUCAGAGCAUCCAGCUGACCUGGAAAUGCCUUAUUAAAAAUUUCUCGCACAAUAUGGGCCUUAUGUGGGGAGCUCAGUUACAUCACCACCUCCUAAAACGAGAGACACAACUGUUUAACUGAACUGAACUAUUUUCAAGACUUAGAGGUUAAUUCAAUGAAAUAGUAAAACAAUCUGCCAACUCAGCUUCUGAAUUAUGAAGCUUCUUGCAGUUUCAAAGGUGGGUCUGAAGAGGAGCAAAAUAUGCCACUCCAAAUACGGAUUACGUUGGCAUAUGGAUUACGUUAAAAUUAUUUAAUUUUAUUAUUUUAUAUAUAAAAUUAUUAUUAAAUAAUUAUUUAAUUAUUUAAUUCUUAAAAUUAUUUAAGAAAUAUUCACUACAAGAAGGACACUCCUUUGUCCCCCUGAAAGCAGGAAAUAAAUUCCCUGUGUGAAGGGGACCCUCCCUGCACCUGGAGGGUAAAAGCACCCUCAUCUCCCAGGAGAGGGGGUUCAGGACUGAGAAGGCUGUAUACACCACUUUGUCACUUCUUCAGUAACUUGCUACCCCAAGCCCAAACCCCUUUGCCAGUUCUUCACAAAUCAUUGUUUCUUUGUUUUGGCUUCCUGCUUGGUCACUCCUGUGAGUCUCAUAUUUCUAUGCCCUCCUGUUUGUACGGAAUUAAAUUUGUUUUCCUCCUGUU